GUGCCAGCAGCCGCGGUAAUACGGAGGGUGCAAGCGUUGUUCGGAAUUAUUGGGCGUAAAGAGCGUGUAGGCGGCCAUGUAAGUCUGGUGUGAAAGCCCGGGGCUUAACCCCGGAAGUGCACUGGAUACUAUGUGGCUAGAGGGUAAGAGAGGAAAGCGGAAUUCCUGGUGUAGGGGUGAAAUCCGUAGAUAUCAGGAGGAACACCGAUGGCGAAGGCAGCUUUCUGGCUUACAUCUGACGCUGAGACGCGAAAGCGUGGGUAGCAAACAGGAUUAGAAACCCUAGUAGUCC
rnacentral:rRNA from 1 species